rnacentral:rRNA from 1 species
UGUUCCACUGUUGCAGGUCACACAGUCUAUUGUUUUGAGUUUCUACCUUAAGUAGUACUUCUCCGGUGGUACACUCUAAUAUUUACUUUUUAAUCUAAUUAUAUUUUAUUAAUUAAAUUUUCAGUGUACAUAGUUUACAGUAUAGACUAAUUGGUUGACGAGUCCAACUCGAUACCUAUACUUUCAUACCUCAAUGUCAAUAAUUAUUUAUUAUAUAUCUUCAUCUAAUGAUACUCCUAUAUUUAUUGUCAUAUUUAACUAUUCCUUAUAUAAUGGUUAUAAUAUAUUUAAUUAUUCUAGAUUUUAUUAAUUAAUUUAUUUAAAUAAAUUAAUUAUUUUU